GCCAGGCAUGGUGGUGCAUGCCUGUAAUCCCUGCUAUCUGGGAGGCUGAGGCAGGAGGAUGGCAAGUUCAAGCCAGCCUUGGGAAUUUAGCAAGACCCUGUCUCAA
rnacentral:sRNA from 1 species